AGCCCCAAGUGGGUGGUAAACUCCAUCUAAGGCUAAAUAUGACCACGAGACCGAUAGCGAACAAGUACCGUGAGGGAAAGUUGAAAAGCACUUUGAAGAGAGAGUUCAAGAGUACGUGAAACCGUUUAGGGGUAAACCUGAGAAACCCGAAAGGUCGAAGGGAGAAAUUCAUUCGUGAAUCGCCGCCGGCGUCGGACGGUCGAGUGACGGGGAACGCGUUCGCGCGUUCACUGCGCCCUCCGUUCUUCGAACCGGUGGCGAACGCGUGCACUUUUCUCCUGGUAGGACGUCGCGAUCCGUUGGGUGUCGGUCUACGGCUAGCGGUGGAGCCCGUUCGUCGCGUUCUCGCGUACGAACGGACCCGCAUGUCCCGGCCGACUCGCUCGACGGUAUACGUAAGGUUUAAGGCCGCUCUAUCGGAGCAUUCGACUCGCGGCAAGCGCGCCAGUCACGUCGGCGAUCGGACCCGGUGCCGAUUCUGACGUCUGGUGACUGUUGGCCGCGAAGUUCUCGAACAGACCUCGAACCGAUUUGCGACGCUAUAGCUUUGGGUACUUUCAG
rnacentral:rRNA from 1 species